GCGCAACCCUUAUUGUUAGUUGCCAUCAUUCAGUUGGGCACUCUAGCGAGACUGCCGGUAAUAAACCGGAGGAAGGUGGGGAUGACGUCAAAUCAUCAUGCCCCUUAUGACCUGGGCUACACACGUGCUACAAUGGCUGGUACAACGAGUCGCAAGCCGGUGACGGCAAGCUAAUCUCUGAAAGCCAGUCUCAGUUCGGAUUGUAGGCUGCAACUCGCCUACAUGAAGUCGGAAUCGCUAGUAAUCGCGGAUCAGCACGCCGCGGUGAAUACGUUCCCGGGCCUUGUACACACCGCCCGUCACACCACGAGAGUUUGUAACACCCGAAGUCGGUGAGGUAACCGUAAGGAGCCAGCCGCCUAAGGUGGGAUAGAUGAUUGGGGUGAAGUCGUAACAAGGUAGCCG
rnacentral:rRNA from 1 species